UACAGAGGGUGCAAGCGUUGUUCGGAAUUAUUGGGCGUAAAGCGCGUGUAGGCGGCUUUGCAAGUCGGGUGUGAAAGCCCUCAGCUCAACUGAGGAAGUGCGCCCGAAACUGCAGAGCUUGAGUACCGGAGAGGAUGGCGGAAUUCCCCAAGUAGAGGUGAAAUUCGUAGAUAUGGGGAGGAACACCGGUGGCGAAGGCGGCCAUCUGGACGGUCACUGACGCUGAGACGCGAAAGCGUGGGUAGCAAACAGG
rnacentral:rRNA from 1 species